rnacentral:rRNA from 1 species
AACGUAGGAGCCAAGCGUUAUCCGAAUUCACUGGGCGUAAAGGGCAAGCAGGCGGACCGCUAAGUUGGAUGUGAAACCUCCUGGCUCAACUGGGAGAGGACGUACAAGACUGGCGGACUAGAGGGCAGGCGAGGGAGGUGGAAUUCCCGGUGUAGUGGUGAAAUGCGUAGAUAUCGGGAGGAACACCAGUGGCGAAAGCGGCCUCCUGGACUGUGCCUGACGCUGAGCUGCGAAAGCUAGGGGAG